rnacentral:rRNA from 1 species
GGACCCGCACAAGUAGUGGAGCAUGUGGUUUAAUUCGAAGAUACGCGCAGAACCUUACCAACACUUGACAUGUUCGUCGCGACUUUAAGAGAUUAAAGUUUUCGGUUCGGCCGGACGAAACACAGGUGCUGCAUGGCUGUCGUCAGCUCGUGUCGUGAGAUGUUGGGUUAAGUCCCGCAACGAGCGCAACCCUCACUUUUAGUUGCCAUCAUUAAGUUGGGCACUCUGAAAGAACUGCCAGUGAUAAGCUGGAGGAAGGUGGGGAUGACGUCAAGUCCUCAUGGCCCUUACGUGUUGGGCUACACACGUGCUACAAUGGUAUCUACAACAGGAAGCAAAACAGCGAUGUUAAGCAAAUCCUUAAAAGAUACCUCAGUUCGGAUUGCACUCUGCAACUCGAGUGCAUGAAGCUGGAAUU